rnacentral:rRNA from 1 species
AGAGUUGUAUCCUGGCUCAGAUUGAACGCUGGCGGCAUGCCUUACACAUGCAAGUCGAACGGCAGCACGGGAGCAAUCCUGGUGGCGAGUGGCGAACGGGUGAGUAAUAUAUCGGAACGUGCCCAGUCGUGGGGGAUAACGUAGCGAAAGCUACGCUAAUACCGCAUACGAUCUAUGGAUGAAAGCGGGGGAUCGCAAGACCUCGCGCGAUUGGAGCGGCCGAUAUCAGAUUAGGUAGUUGGUGAGGUAAAGGCUCACCAAGCCGACGAUCUGUAGCUGGUCUGAGAGGACGACCAGCCACACUGGGACUGAGACACGGCCCAAACUCCUACGGGAGGCAGCAGUGGGGAAUUUUGGACAAUGGGCGCAAGCCUGAUCCAGCAAUGCCGCGUGCAGGAUGAAGGCCUUCGGGUUGUAAACUGCUUUUGUACGGAACGAAACGGUGAGCUCUAAUACAGUUUGCUAAUGACGGUACCGUAAGAAUAAGCACCGGCUAACUACGUGCCAGCAGCCGCGGUAAU